UUUCCUGUGUGAUCCUAGCCCCCCUCACAAGAGCCAGGCUAAGACACUCCUAUUAGAUAAGGCAGAAAAGCAUCCUCCAGUGUUAAUAGCCAGCAUAUUUGUCUUAGGUGAAACAGAGACUACACCUUGGAUUUGUUACAAGAGCAGCUAGGUCAUUAAAUAACCUGGCAACCUACCCAAAGGACACAGAGGCAUCUGUAUGGAAGCAAAGUCUCUCCCUUUGGUUUGUGAGUUAAGAGGCGUCUGGGAAGAGGAGGAGGCGACGGGGACAAGAGCAGCACACACAGUGCCCGGGAGGAUGAGGACCCUUCAAGGGGGCGUGUGGGACUGAUAUGCAGGCAUCUGCGAGCUGUAAUCCCAGCUCUGUCACUUUUUGCCUCUGUGGUCCUGGAAAGGAGGACAGAAAUCUCCCAGUUAGAGACGAAUACUGAAGACAGUUGUUAUAAGCUGUUCUUCAAAGAAAGCAAACCAGAGCAGAAAGGUCAGCGCUACUGUGGAGAAGAAAGCGAGGCAGGAUUCGAGAUUUUUCCUAGGUGCCCUUGAUGAAAAUAUGGAAAUGUCAAGAUUCCAAGGCGGUGUGGGCUUUCCAGGACUCUGGGUCUUCUCCUAUGAAGUGACUGCUAAGAGAUAAGGG
rnacentral:lncRNA from 1 species